UACGUAGGGUGCAGGCGUUAAUCGGAAUUACUGGGCGUAAAGGGCUCGUAGGCGGCCAACUAAGUCAGACGUGAAAUCCCUCGGCUUAACCGGGGAACUGCGUCUGAUACUGGAUGGCUGGAGUUUGGGAGAGGGAUGCGGAAUUCCAGGUGUAGCGGUGAAAUGCGUAGAUAUCGUAAGGAAGACCAGUGGCGAAGGCGGGUCUCUGGACAGUUCCUGACGCUGAGGCACGAAGGCCAGGGGAGCAAACGGG
rnacentral:rRNA from 1 species